AUUGAACGCUGGCGGCAGGCCUAACACAUGUAAGUCGAACGCGUGGCGGACGGGUGAGUCAUGUCUGGGACACUGCCCGAUGGAGGGGGAUAACUACUGGAAACGGUAGCUAAUACCGCAUACCAUCGGAUGUGCCCAGAUGGGAUUAGCUAGUAGGUGGGGUAACGGCUCACCUAGGCGACGAUCCCUAACUGGUCUGAGAGGAUGACCAGCCACACUGGAACUGAGACACGGUCCAGACUCCUACGGGAGGAAGAAGUGGGGAAUAUGGCACAAUGGGCGAAAGCCUGAUGCAGCAAUGCCGCGUGUAUGAAGAAGGUCUUCGGGUUGUAAAGUACUUUCAGCGAGGAGGCGUUACUCGCAGAAGAAGCACCGGCUAACUCCGUGCCAGCAGCCGCGGUAAUAC
rnacentral:rRNA from 1 species